rnacentral:lncRNA from 1 species
AAUGGCGGCUGUAUGAGCUGCGGGGCCGCUGCCGAUGAUACAGAGGCGGGGUUUUAGGGGUUUGGGAAGGUCGUCCAUGGAGGAGAUUUUGGGAGAAUUAGCGGAGGUGGUGGUGGAGAGGGCAGCGACGGGCAUUAGGUUACGGGCUUUUUUGAGGGUAUUUAAGAGUUUUGGCCAACAGUUCCCCGUCAUAUUUUUGCUUUGAAUAGAAUGGGUUUAGUUUGACUUUCCAACUAUAGAUAUUCUUGGCAGCGACGGGAAUUAGGUUACGGGCUUUUUUGAGGGUAUUUAAGAGUUUUGGCCAACAGUUGCCCGUCAUAUUUUUGCUUUGAACGGAAGGGGUUUUAGUUUGACUUUGCUACUGUUUAAAUAUGAAAUAUUGAAUGGGGAAAUGUGUACUACAUCAUAUUGGAAAUAUACUUAUGGAAGCAAAACCAUAUUUGGAAUCCAAUUACAUGCUUAGCUUAGUUCAACAUCUUAUUCCUUCUUUUUUAUUGUUUUUAAUGGAGUUCUUAUUUGGAGGUAAAUUGAAGCCCAAGUUAUUCCUUAUCAUCCUUGUUCAUAUUCUAUUUUGAAUUUGAAUUCUUUUGUAUUAGUUUUCUGAGAUUAGUUU